rnacentral:rRNA from 1 species
UACGUAGGGUGCAAGCGUUUAAUCGGAAUUACUGGGCGUAAAGCGUGCGCAGGCGGCUUUGCAAGACAGAUGUGAAAUCCCCGGGCUUAACCUGGGAACUGCAUUUGUGACUGCAUGGCUAGAGUGCGGCAGAGGGGGAUGGAAUUCCGCGUGUAGCAGUGAAAUGCGUAGAUAUGCGGAGGAACACCGAUGGCGAAGGCAAUCCCCUGGGCCUGCACUGACGCUCAUGCACGAAAAGCGUGGGGAGCAAACAGG